rnacentral:lncRNA from 1 species
AUCACUUAAUUCUGUAAAGUGUUAAGUGAAAGUUUUAAACCAUGAGUUGACCUUUGGCCUGUGAAGCUGAAUAAAUUGUUCAAAUCUUACCCCUAAAUGUCUCAUUACACAGCCUGAGCUGGCACUGGAAAGGCACUCAGAAAUAGUUCCUAUCAGUCCAACAGACGUCUUUACCAAUUUAGGGCUGUGUAUUUGACCAGGACUACGGGAAGGAAACGUUAAUCCUAAAAGAAAAAAAAUCACUGAAAUGAUACUGGACUGUGAAAUGGAUUGAAGUGAGGAAGAUGUGCGCGCUCUGAACCCCUGAAGCAUGAGCCUCACUCCGUCCAACAGAAGGUGGUGCUGAG